rnacentral:rRNA from 1 species
AAGACCUUGCACUUUUGGAGCGGCCGAUGUCUGAUUAGCUAGUUGGUGGGGUAAUGGCCUACCAAAGCGUCGAUCAGUAGCUGGUCUGAGAGGACGGCCAGCCACACUGGGACUGAGACACGGCCCAGACUCCUACGGGAGGCAGCAGUGGGGAAUUUUGGACAAUGGGCGCAAGCCUGAUCCAGCCAUGCCGCGUGAGUGAAGAAGGCCUUCGGGUUGUAAAGCUCUUUCAGCCGGGAAGAAAAGGUUGCGAUUAAUAAUCGCAAUUUAUGACGGUACCGGAAGAAGAAGCACCGGCUAACUACGUGCCAGCAGCCGCGGUAAUACGUAGGGUGCGAGCGUUAAUCGGAAUUACUGGGCGUAAAGGGUGCGCAGGCGGUUUUGUAAGUCAGAUGUGAAAGCCCCGGGCUCAACCUGGGAACU